CUGCGCUACUGCCUGUAACAAAAUAAUAACAAUAAUAAAAAAGGUUAAAUCAAUUGAAGUGUUUCAUUUAGAUAAAGUCCAAACAUCCCAAUCUGAUUCUGGAUUUGAUUUGAUUUGAUUGUAUUUUAUAUUUUAUUUUAUUUUAUUUUAUUUUAUUUUAUUUUAUUUUAUUUUAUUUUAUUUUAUUUUAUUUAUAUAUUUUUUUGCAAUCCUUUCUUAUCCACACCAAACCAUGGGGAAUGCCGAGCUGGAACAGCUCGUUCUGAUGAGACCCAGACCAAAUUUCCUCCCUGCCAUUGGUUUCCAGAGGAAAACUCGAGCAGCCCCACUCCUCCCUCCACAGAGGACAUUUCCUGAUGUGACCAUGCGAUUUCUCCCUGGACUGAGCCCGCUGACUUGCACAAUUCCCCUUCUGGUCAACAAGAAAAAAUCACAGCCUCAGACCCAUCAUCCCAAGACGUCUGUGUUCCUCCUCCCCCAUCUCCACGCUCCUUCUGCAGGGUGCUAACGAGGGCUCAUUUACACCACGGGAUGUUCUGCGCUGCGUCGGAGAGGUCCAAGGGGAGACCUGCGGGAUUGUACACAUGGGAUCGGUGCUGGAGCAGAAACCUUUGGGUACGGGUAGGUGGAUGUGAUGGAUGGAGCUCAGGAGCAGUCUGGCCCUGGGUGCUGGAGGAAAGAUGCUGUUUUCUUAAAUUACUUACUGAGAAAGCCUAAGUCAAUCUACAUAUUAAACAUACCGGAGAUUGGAGUCCAAGUCAAUGUGGCUCACGACAGACCUAGGGAACCAAGUCUCUCUCCCCGAGAGCCUGCACUCCCCCUUCUCCUUCUCCGUUAGCUUAAGGCGAUAAAACUUUGAAGAUGUAAUCUAGGCAUUAUCUGCCUUUUUGGAUAAUGUUCAACAGUAAUUUUAGUGUCGUCUUUAUCUCCAAAAUGGUUGCUUUAAAUUCAGCUGCUUCCUUCCCAGAGGCUGGUUUGACUUUUAGGCAGCAAAAUAUCUUUCUGUGUGUCCUCCCUUUUGGUGGGUCAGAUUUUUUGGGUUCUGGUUUAUUCUCCUAUUUGUUUUCCCCUCUGCCAUACCUCCUCUUUAGCUCUGUUUGGCUUUUCUUAUACCAGGAUUUAUUCUUCCCACGAAAGGAUUCAUCCAUGCAGAAGAGCUCAGAGCAUAUUCCAGAGAUGCCCGUGCUGUUGGAAAGGAUCAAGGCAAGAAGACAUCCUAUCUCAGGGACUGACCCAAAUUUUCUACAACCCCUUUCAGGAUAG
rnacentral:lncRNA from 1 species